UAAGCAUAUCAAUAAGCGGAGGAAAAGAAACUAACAAGGAUUCCCCUAGUAACUGCGAGUGAAGCGGGAAAAGCUCAAAUUUAAAAUCUGGCAGUCUCUGGCUGUCCGAGUUGUAAUCUAGAGAAGUAAUGCCCGUGCUGGACCGUGUAUAAGUCUCCUGGGAUGGGGCGUCAUAGAGGGUGAGAAUCCCGUCUUUGACACGGACUACCAGUGCAUUGUGGUAUGCUCUCAAAGAGUCGAGUUGUUUGGGAAUGCAGCUCAAAAUGGGUGGUAAAUUCCAUCUAAAGCUAAAUAUUGGCGAGAGACCGAUAGCGAACAAGUACCGUGAGGGAAAGAUGAAAAGAACUUUGGAAAGAGAGUUAAACAGUACGUGAAAUUGCUGAAAGGGAAACGCUUGAAGUCAGUCGCGUUGGCCGGGAAUCAGCCUUGCUUUUGCAUGGUGUACUUUCUGGUUGACGGGUCAGCAUCAAUUUUGACCGCUGGAAAAAGACCUGGGGAAUGUGGCAGCUUCGGCUGUGUUAUAGCCCCUAGUCGCAUACAGUGGUUGGGAUUGAGGAACUCAGCACGCCGCAAGGCCGGGUUUCGACCACGUUCGUGCUUAGGAUGCUGGCAUAAUGGCUUUAAGCGACCCGUCUUGAAACACGGACCAAGGAGUCUAACAUGCCUGCGAGUAUUUGGGUGGAAAACUCAAGUGCGUAAUGAAAGUGAAAGUUGAGAUCCCUGUCGUGGGGAGCAUCGACGCCCGGACCAGAACUUUUGGGACGGAUCCGCGGUGGAGCAUGUAUGUUGGGACCCGAAAGAUGGUGAACUAUGCCUGAAUAGGGUGAAGCCAGAGGAAACUCUGGUGGAGGCUCGUAGCGAUUCUGACGUGCAAAUCGAUCGUCAAAUUUGGGUAUAGGGGCGAAAGACUAAUCGAACCAUCUAGUAGCUGGUUCCUGCCGAAUUCC
rnacentral:rRNA from 1 species